GAUGAAGAACGUAGCGAAAUGCGAUAAGUAGUGUGAAUUGCAGAAUUCAGUGAAUCAUCGAAUGUUUGAACGCACAUUGCGCCCCUUGGUAUUCCAUGGGGCAUGCCUGUUCGAGCGUCAUUUGUACCUUCAAGCUUUGCUUGGUGUUGGGUGUUUGUCCCGAGGGACUCGCCUUAAAGUAAUUGGCAGCCAGUGUUUGGUUUUGAAGCGCAGCACAAGUCGCGAUUCAAGGCUACACGCCCGCUUCCACAAGCCUUUUUUCACUUUUGACCUCGGAUCAGGUAGGGAUACCCGCUGAACUUAAGCAUAUCAAUAAGCGGAGGA
rnacentral:misc_RNA from 1 species